rnacentral:rRNA from 1 species
AUGAACGCUGGCGGCGUGCCUAAUACAUGCAAGUCGAGCGAACGGACGAGAAGCUUGCUUUUCUGAUGUUAGCGGCGGACGGGUGAGCAACACGUGGAUAACCUACCUAUAAGACUGGGAUAACUUCGGGAAACCGGAGCUAAUACCGGAUAAUAUUUUGAACCGCAUGGUUCAAAAGUGAAAGACGGUCUUGCUGUCACUUAUAGAUGGAUCCGCGCUGCAUUAGCUAGUUGGUAAGGUAACGGCUUAUCAAGGCAACGAUGCAUAGCCGACCUGAGAGGGUGAUCGGCCACACUGGAACUGAGACACGGUCCAGACUCCUACGGGAGGCAGCAGUAGGGAAUCUUCCGCAAUGGGCGAAAGCCUGACGGAGCAACGCCGCGUGAGUGAUGAAGGUCUUCGGAUCGUAAAACUCUGUUAUUAGGGAAGAACAUAUGUGUAAGUAACUGUGCACAUCUUGACGGUACCUAAUCAGAAAGCCACGGCUAACUACGUG